UCUCCUUCCAUUAGCUCGGCAAUAAGUCUUGCUUUAGGCUUAUUGCUGGCUAUCUUACCCCUGGCUUCCAACAGCUCCUUUAACGUUUGCCGUUUCAAUAUGGUGUAAUCCGUCCCCAUUCACUUCUGCAUCUGUAUCAAUUGCCUUCUGCUUUCCAGUAUGUCAAUUCCAAUUGUAUAACAGCGUUUUUCCUGCUGUACGGUUGGAUCCCGCCGCUUGCCACCAAUUGUUGCGGAGCUGCAAUUUUAUAAUCCCAGGAUCUCUGCUG